AACGAACGCUGGCGGCAGGCCUAACACAUGCAAGUCGAGCGAGAUCUUCGGGUCUAGCGGCGGACGGGUGAGUAACGCGUGGGAAUAUGCCUCUUGGUACGGAAUAGCCUCGGGAAACUGGGAGUAAUACCGUAUGUGCCCCUUGGGGGAAAGAUUUAUCGCCAAGAGAUUAGCCCGCGUUGGAUUAGGUAGUUGGUGGGGUAAUGGCCUACCAAGCCGACGAUCCAUAGCUGGUUUGAGAGGAUGACCAGCCACACUGGGACUGAGACACGGCCCAGACUCCUACGGGAGGCAGCAGCGGGGAAUCUUAGACAAUGGGGGCAACCCUGAUCUAGCCAUGCCGCGUGAGUGAUGAAGGCCUUAGGGUUGUAAAGCUCUUUCAGCUGGGAAGAUAAUGACGGUACCAGCAGAAGAAGCCCCGGCUAACUCCGUG
rnacentral:rRNA from 1 species